rnacentral:rRNA from 1 species
UACGUAGGGUGCGAGCGUCAAUCGGAAUUACUGGGCGUAAAGCGUGCGCAGGCGGUUCGCCAAGUCAGGUGUGAAAUCCCCAGGCUUAACCUGGGAACUGCAUUCGAGACUGCAUUGCUAGAGUAUGGGAGAGGGAAGUGGAAUUUCCGGUGUAGCGGUGAAAUGCGUAGAUAUCGGAAGGAACAUCAGUGGCGAAAGCGACUUCCUGGACCAAUACUGACGCUCAUGUGCGAAAGCGUGGGGAGCAAACAGG